rnacentral:rRNA from 1 species
UACGAAGGGGGCUAGCGUUGCUCGGAAUCACUGGGCGUAAAGGGUGCGUAGGCGGGUUUUUAAGUCAGGGGUGAAAUCCUGGAGCUCAACUCCAGAACUGCCUUUGAUACUGAAGAUCUUGAGUUCGGGAGAGGUGAGUGGAACUGCGAGUGUAGAGGUGAAAUUCGUAGAUAUUCGCAAGAACACCAGUGGCGAAGGCGGCUCACUGGCCCGGAACUGACGCUGAGGUGCGAAAGCGUGGGGAGCAAACAGG